rnacentral:rRNA from 1 species
UACAGAGGUGGCAAGCGUUGUUCGGAAUUACUGGGCGUAAAGGGCGCGUAGGCGGCCUGCUAAGUCAGACGUGAAAUCCCCCGGCUUAACCUGGGAACUGCGUCUGAUACUGGAAGGCUUGAGUAUGGGAGAGGGAUGUAGAAUUCCAGGUGUAGCGGUGAAAUGCGUAGAUAUCUGGAGGAAUACCGGUGGCGAAGGCGGCAUCCUGGACCAUUACUGACGCUGAGGCGCGAAAGCUAGGGGAGCAAACGGG